rnacentral:rRNA from 1 species
UGAGCAACCUGCCCUUGACUCUGGAAUAACAGUUGGAAACAGCUGCUAAUACCGGAUACGACCUUCGAUGACAUCAUCUAGAGGUGGAAAGCUCCGGCGGUCAAGGAUGGGCUCGCGGCCUAUCAGCUUGUUGGUGAGGUAACGGCUCACCAAGGCUUCGACGGGUAGCUGGCCUGAGGAGGGCGACCGGCCACACGUGGGGCUGAGAUACCGGCCCAGACCUCGUACGGGGAGG